rnacentral:SRP_RNA from 1 species
GCUGGAAGUGAUGGUAUUUGCCUGUGAUCCCUGCUUUAGGGAGGCUGAGGUUGGUGGAUUGCUUGAGCCUGAGAGUUCUGAGCUACAGAAGGCUACACCCAUCAGGCGUCCACAUUAAGUCUAGCAUUCAUAUGGUGAGCCUGGGAUCAUGGAGGGUCUCCAGGCUGCAUAAGGAGAGAUGAAUCAGUCUAAGUCAGAAACCAAGCAGGUCAAAAUUUCUGUGCUAAUCACUGAGCUGAGGAGCAGACCUUGCAUUUCCAGACUGGGUGACCUAGGAAGACACAGUCUUU